rnacentral:lncRNA from 1 species
GGGCAACCCAUAAACUGGAAAAUAAUUACAUUGCAGAGGUUCUCCCAAAGGAACGAGAGUUCUGAGCCCCUCAUCAGGUUCCCCACCCAGGGGUCUGGCAUUGGAAGGAGGAGCCCCCAGAGAAUUUGGUGUUGAGGGCCAGCAGGACUGGUGUGCAGGAGCUCCACAGGACUGGGGGAAACAGAGGCUCUACUCUUGAGGAUACAAACAAGGUCUCAUGUGCACUGGGUCACAGGGCAAAGCAGAGAUGCCAUAAGAAUCUGGGUUGGAACUACCUGUGGGUCUCCUGGGAAAGCAGGGGGUGGCUGUGGCUGUGGGGGCAAGACACUGGAGGCGGAGGUCCCAGGAAUGAUCAUUGGCGUGAGCUCCCCCAUUUUGGAAAAGCUAUCCUAAGACAGAAGAGGGAGUUAAAUGGCCCUUUAAUUCCUAAUUUCUAUCUCUGGAAAAGGCAGUGUUGAGAUUCUGUGUUGGCAUUGGAGGUUGGGUCGGAAGGCUGCUCCUUGGAGAAGAAAUAAAUGUGGAGGGAAUGGGGGAAGGGAUGUUUUCUCUAAGAGUGGGGGGUGCCCUGUGUACAGAAUGAUGAAUAUUUCCUACCUAGAAACAUUUUUUUAAUAAGAUCCAGUUUUUACUUUUAUUUAUUUAUCUUUUUGCUUUUUAGGGCUGUACCUGCAGCAUAUGGAAGUUUUCAGGCUAGGGGUCAAAUCAGAGUGCAGCUGCCGUCCUGUGCCACAGUCACAGCAACUCCAGAUCUGAGUCACGUCUGUGACCUACAUCACAGCUCCUGGCAACGCCAGAUCCUUAACCCACUGAGUGAGGCCAGGGAUCAAACCUGCAUCCUCAUGUUUACUAGUUGGGUUCUUAAUAUGCUGAACCACAACAGGAACUCUAAGACCCAGUUUUUAAAACCACACACACACACACACACACACACACACACACACACACACAGUGAUGAUUAUUAUUUGCAUUUCAAGAGUUCUUUGAUGAUAAAAUUAUUAUUUUAUUAUCUAGGUAAUUUUCGAGUGUAUUAGAUACCAUGACAGGUACUUUUACAUGCAGUCCCUUAUUCAGUCCUUACAACCACCCUUUGAGGUGGAUGUUUUAUCUACACUAUUCAGAGAAGAAACUAAAACUCAGAGAGAGGGUUUAAGGGUCUUGCCUAGAAUUCUACAGUAAGUGACAGAAAUAAAUUGGGACCCAAAUCCAAUGUUUUGUUUUGUUGUUUUUUUUGUUUGUUUGUUUUUGUUUUUUUUUAGGGGGGUUGGCCACGGCAUGCAGAAGUUCCCAGGCCAGGGAUCGAACUCAUGCCACAGCUUUGACCCAAGCUGCAGCAGUGACCACGCCGGAUCCCUAACCCACUGAGCCACCAGGGAAUUCCUCCAGUGUUCUUUUUAAAAUGUAGUCCUAGAUAGGGAAUUGUCCUGCAACCCACAACAUAUGAUUCCAUUUUUUUUUUUAAUGAGUAAAACACUUUUUUUUUUUAUGAUUCAUUUAAUGAAAGACACAUUCACCUUCAAUUUUUCAGGACUUUCUCCUUCCGUCAACCACAGCUUAUUGUCUUUGUGUCAUAUAUCCAUCUUUCAGGCACCUACUCAGUGUAUCAGUACAUUUAGCUCUUACAUGCCCCUGAGCGCACAAAGCUGGCUCCCACAUCCUGUUUUGAGGACCCAUGUUUAGAAAUCUACUCCAUUUAAAGAGAGAUGAGGAUAGACUGAAGGAACUAAAAACAAUGUGAUACAAUUAAGAGCAGCAACGUCAAGUGUAAGGUUGAGUAAUUUGGGCUUGUGUGAACAAACAAUUGAAAUGAUUCAAGUUCCAUGCUUUGUGAGUGGGGUAUGCAUGUGUGUGUAUGCACACAAACCUACUUUACAAACAUGUUUUUUUUUUUUUUUUUUGAAUUGGCGUUAUCAGAGCAAUCAAUCACCGAAAUAAUUUUCAUCUUAAAAAUUUUUGGAUUUUCAUAAGAACAUUUAGAUAGUAAGUCUAUUUAGCUAGAAAGAAACGGAAGCAUCAGAAAAUUUCAACACGGUUCCAACUCGAUGAAUCCAGCCUUAGUCUUUUUUGAGGUAAGGACAGAGAGGCUGAAAGAGACUCAAGGUCUCUGAGUAAGAGAGGCCCCAGCUAACAGCCUGUGGCUGCCAGCCGCGAUCACCGUGGAGGACGCUGUUCUCAUUCCUGGACUUCUGUUUGCUCCUAAGUAGAGAUAUUCAUUUGUGGCUGAUGUAGAAAAUUCUUUACCUUGGGUUCAGUUGCAUUGCGGUGCAGAAAGGGAUUUAGUUUAAUGCCUGAGUAGGCAAAUGUGGUGCAAGAGGCUUGAACACUGAAAUACCUGUGAAAAUUUCCUUUCCUGGCCUCUCCUUGGCAGCUCUCAGACGCAUGUGGACACCUUAUCCCAAGGAGCCUGGAUGAAGGCCAGGAGUCUCGCACAGCAAGUGUGGGUGUUGAAUCAACAUACCUGGUUAUGACUCUCCAGGGACUCUUCUUUGAAGAUUAUGCAACUCCAGCUAAGAGGAUGGGCUUUCCUUACUAGCUUUACACAUUGGAUUAACUUUUUCAAAACAAACAACAGUUUCUCUGCUCUCUUUUCGAGACUUUUUUAUGUCUUUGUUUCUGGCUAAGCAGUGUUUAGGUAAAGGACAAAAUUCUAUUAGGCACAACAAUGUUUUUCUAAUGUUGAUGGGCAAGACACUUAAUUUGUGGUGUAUGAAAGACGCAUAAAACAGUAUCACUGCAUAUUUAAAAAAGAAAGCCCUUCUUUGUUUUCAGAAUACAACAGCUGCUUCUGUAUUUAUUUAUUUAUUUAUGUACGUAUUUAUUUAUUUUGGCCACGCCUGUAGCAUGUGGAAGUUCCUGGGCCAGGAGGACGCGCUCCACAGCAGCGACCCUAUCUAUCCGCUCUAGUGACAAUGCUGGAUUCUUAACCUGCUGCAUCACCAGGGAACUCCUGGUUCUGUUUAAUGACCCCCCCCACUAACACCAACACUUUUAUUAACGUAGUUUAAGAAAUAGUCAAAACUCUUUCUUAGGGUCACAUAGCCUUAGUUAUCUGGAGAUUUUGCCAUUUAUGAAGUUGCAGGUGGGUUGGCGUUCUUCUUUUCUCCUAGUCUCAUUGUUCCACAUAGAAGGCUUUCUUUAAAGUGACAUUUCUGGUCUCUCUCUAGCCCUCCACCUCUGCUUUGUUUGGGCAUAGGACUGGGCCUGUAUGGCUCAGUCCUGUUGGACUUCGCUUUCUUCUUGGCCCAGCCGUUUGCAGAGGGCAUGUCCUUCAGUCUGCUCCUUACGUGGUACUGUUGCCAGGCACCAUCCAUCCUUGUUAGGAAAGUCUUUGGUUUUCCAGCUCUUCCUGGGACCAGGCUGCUAAGUUUAAUUUGGGGGCAAUGUGUGAGUGAGUCCACUGUGAUCCCAGAUAUAAAGCCACAGCCUCUAAUCCAGCCUCACUAGGGAUCAAGACAAAAGUUUCAAUCUUCAGCUAACUCUUGUGUCUAUCUCUCAGUUGGUUUUAAACUCAGGAGGGGGAAAAGGGCUUGGUUCUCUAAAACCUCAACAGAUAAUGAUGUAUAGGCAAAUUCUUAGGUAGUGUUUUUCUAUAACCUGUCUUUUUGGGCUAGGAGUAAUUUUUUGUUCUCUAUUUCAAGGUUAGAUAGCACAACUAUGAACUCUAAGAAAUAUGAAUUAUUUAGGAUUAAACUCUGAUUUCAUUUUUUUAAAUUUUAUUUUAUUUUUUAAAAACACAUGCCCUGGAGAUCCCAUCGUGGCGCAGUAGUUAAGGAAUCCGACUAGGAACCAUGAGGUUGCGGGUUCGAUCCCUGGCCUUGCUCAGUGGGUUAAGGAUCCAGUGUUGCCAUGAGCUGUGGUGUAGGUCGCAGAUGCGGCUUGGAUCCCAUGUUGCUGUGGCUGUGGCUGUGGCCGGUAGCAACAGCUCCGAUUCGACCCCUAGCCUGGGAACCUCCAUAUGCUCGGGAGUGGCCCUAGAAAAGGCAAAAAGACAAAAAACAAAAAACAACAAAAAAAACCC